rnacentral:rRNA from 1 species
GACGAACGCUGGCGGCGUGCUUAACACAUGCAAGUCGAACGGGAUCCACUGGGCUUUUGUUUGGUGGUGAGAGUGGCGAACGGGUGAGUAAUGCGUGACUAACCUGCCGUAUGGUUGGGGAUAGCUCCUGGAAACGGGUGGUAAUACCCAAUGUUCCGGCUGGAUGCAUGUCUGGUUGGGAAAGCUUUUUGUGCCAUAUGAUGGGGUCGCGUCCUAUCAGCUUGUUGGUGGGGUGAUGGCCUACCAAGGCGUCGACGGGUAGCCGGCCUAAGAGGGCGACCGGCCACAUUGGGACUGAGAUACGGCCCAGACUCCUACGGGAGGCAGCAGUGGGGAAUAUUGCACAAUGGGCGCAAGCCUGAUGCAGCGACGCCGCGUGCGGGAUGGAGGCCUUCGGGUUGUAAACCGCUUUUAUAGGGGGGCAAGCUAUGCCUGUGUGGUGUGGUGAGUGGACUUUAUGAAUAAGCACCGGCUAA